ensembl:lncRNA
CUUUGACAGGUUUAUAUAAUGCACUCGUUCUAAUACAUUACCGUUUCUAUAGUAACAACUUAAACAUGCAUGGUGUAUGCUCUAGUCUAUGUUAAUGUUACUCGCUGUCUAAUUGUUGUGCUUUGGAAUGUACUGUUGGAGGAAAAUAAUCAACUGUGGGGUGGGAAGAGUAACUCUGAUUCUUGUUGGGCCGCAUCACAUCAUCCUGUUGUUGAUCAUUUCCUGUAACAGCAUGGCCCCAGUGUUGUUGUUGUUUUUUUCUUACAUAAUCUUGGUACAAAUUUGUGCGUUGGUAUAAAUGAUGGAUGGGUGGAUGGAUAGGUGGGUGGAUGGAUGGACGGGUGGGUGGGUGGCUGGAUGGACAGAUGGGUGGAUGGAUAGGUGGGUGGAUGGACGGACAGAUGGAUGGACAGGUGGGUGGGUGGCUGGAUGGACAGAUGGGUGGACGGUUAGAUGGGUGGGUGAACGGACAGAUGGGUGGAGGGGUAGAUGGGUGGGUUGAUGGACAGAUGGAUGGAGGUGUGGGUGGGUGGACGGACAGAGGG